rfam:Hordeum vulgare subsp. vulgare, WGS project CAJW01000000 data, contig: morex_contig_1213344
GGAUACGAUCAUACCUGCACUAAAGCACCGGAUCCCAUUAGAACUCCGAAGUUAAGUGUGCUUGGNNNNNAGUAGUACUAGGAUGGGUGACCUAUUGGGAAUUCCUCUUGUUGCAUUAG